rnacentral:misc_RNA from 1 species
AUGCGAAAAGUAGUGUGAAUUGCAGAAUUCAGUGAAUCAUCGAAUCUUUGAACGCACAUUGCGCCCCUUGGUAUUCCAUGGGGCAUGCCUGUUCGAGCGUCAUUUGUACCCUCAAGCUCAGUCUUGGUGUUGGGUGUUUGUCCUGCCCUCGCGGCGGACUCGCCUUAAAGUCAUUGGCAGCCGGAAUAAAUCUGGGGAACGCAGCACAACUGCAGCCUCUGGUCUUAUACGCCGAGCGUCCAACAAGCCUUUUUUCUUGCGUUUGACCUCGGAUCAGGUAGGGAUACCCGCUGAACUUAA